GAUGAACGCUGGCGGCGUGCCUAAUACAUGCAAGUCGAGCGAACAGACGAGGAGCUUGCUCCUCUGACGUUAGCGGCGGACGGGUGAGUAACACGUGGAUAACCUACCUAUAAGACUGGGAUAACUUCGGGAAACCGGAGCUAAUACCGGAUAAUAUAUUGAACCGCAUGGUUCAAUAGUGAAAGACGGUUUUGCUGUCACUUAUAGAUGGAUCCGCGCCGCAUUAGCUAGUUGGUAAGGUAACGGCUUACCAAGGCGACGAUGCGUAGCCGACCUGAGAGGGUGGUCGGCCACACUGGAACGGAGACACGGUCCAGACUCCUACGGGAGGCAGCAGUAGGGAAUCUUCCGCAAUGGGCGAAAGCCUGACGGAGCAACGCCGCGUGAGUGAUGAAGGUCUUCGGAUCGUAAAACUCUGUUAUUAGGGAAGAACAAAUGUGUAAGUAACUAUGCACGUCUUGACGGUACCUAAGCAGAAAGCCACGGCUAACUACGUGC
rnacentral:rRNA from 1 species